AGUAUCUUCUCCUCUCUUUCCUUGGCUUGUGGAUGCCAACUUUUCUCUGUAUUCUUAGGGUCUUCCUUCUGAGUCUGUUCCUAAAUUUCCUCUUCAUGUGAGGAUACUAGUCAUAUCAGAUCAGGGCCCAGACUACGGAACUCGUUUCAGCUCACUUAUUUCUUUAAAGAUCCUAUCCUGAAACCAACUGCAUUCUGAGAAACUGUGUCUUAAAGGCCAAGCUAGACAUAAGGGAGGGGAGCUACGAAACAGAGAGGCACGAUGUGAAAUUUCCAGGUGCUCCAUGAAUGCUUUCAGAGAAUGAAGAAAACAAGGCAUCAUAGAAUUUGUACUGCAAAAUAGACAUUAAGGACCUUAAAGUGGAGCUCCUUGCACAAAAUGCUCAUCAGCAAGGCCUGCAGAGUCCACAUGAAUAUUGGCCCUACUCCUGGACACUCCCUGCUCAUGACAACAGAAGAAAGAUCUGCUGCAAAUGACUGAACACAAAUUAUAGACUUUAGAACUGUACAGAAUUUACUAUGUAAUUUUUUUUGGUAGAUGUAACAAUUAAGCUAUAGAGCAGGGUUUUGCUAUUAACAUCUUCUUCCUUGGUAAGGCAAUGGUGAAAACCUGAGCCAGCUCUGGCUGAGAGAAUUACCUGACUUGGUCUGCUUCAGAUUUGAGGAAUUUCACAUGAAUUUUCCUCUGACUCUUUUACCUUGUUGUAUCCCAGGCCUUUGGUGGUAGCAUGUUACUUCCUUACAGUGGAGUCCUUUUUAAAUAUAAUGAAGAUUCUAAAUUUGCUUUGAGUCCGUUUUAAGUGUAGAGACUUCAUUAGUUUGUACCAGAAGAUUUCUUUGUACUCACCCCCAAGAGCCUUGAAAAAGUUAAUUUGAAAAAGUUUUUAUUUCUUAUUGCAGGGUCUUGCAAUAUAAUAUUUGAGUACCCUGAUGGCUGCAUUUAAAAAAAAAAUAAGUUUGCUUUAGAGGUUGAAGAGUCUGUCAAUUUGAUCAAAAUAAAUAACAGCCUUCACAGCUGAGAACCAUGAAUAUUAUAACAUCCUGUCUGAUUUUAGCCACUUGAGGAAAUUACUAUUUAAUUAAAUAUUGAAGUGGCUAACCAGUAAUUUAUGAGGCCUUUGUUCUCUGUUGUUGAAACCUAAUUUUUUAGAGUAGCUGUCACAUCUUGAAUGAAGACUAAUGGAAAGAGGUAAAGUUUGAGGGCUUUCUUCAGUAGGGCUCUUCUGUGUGACUUCAUGGCUGUUGACUGUUUUCCUUCCCCCUAUUAACUGACUCCCACUGGAGCCAAUGGGCUUGGGGGAUCCCUUAAAUUUUUUCUGAUUUGUUUUCAUUGGAAUACUCUUGACUUUGAGGUGACAUAAUGAAGUUAGUGCAAAGUCUGAGAGUCUUUUUUUUUUUUUUUCAGAGCCACCUCAAAAGUCUCUAAUAGGAAAUGAGCAGCUGCAAAAGGCCCACCUUUAGAAUGUCAAACCUGAACAGAGAAAGAGCUCACACAGAAUUGUCAGUUCCCAGGUGGCCUUUUCUGUGAGAUAUAUAGCACCAAGUCCAAUGUUUGGGCAAACUGACUGUCCAAUGGGCUCCUCAAAUAGAAAUUAAAUAUUAUGUGGUGUAGAAAAAAACCUUGUUGUGGUACCUUACACAUGAGAAAAAGGACAUUGUCUCAGUGGAUAUUUUCUCUGCAUAGAUUCUGCCUGGGAUCAGUAUAUCCCACCAAUAUUAUUAUUUGCAUAAGUUAAAAGUUUAGGUCAGAAUGGAGACAUUGUGUAAGAGCUAUUUGUGAGAAUUAUUUUUUAGUUUAACACAAACUGCAUCUUUCUCCCUAGGGAGAACACCUUCUGUUUUCUUUAAUCUCUUUUACAAGAGAGGACAGUAUAUAUUAAUAGAGGGCAAGAAUAAAUCACUGGGUCUAAGUGUUAAUGAUCAUCUAAUAAUAAGAUGUGAUAGGAUUAUAUUAGAAUUGCAGAAUUGGGCUAUUUAUUAAGAGUGGCAUGCUAUCAAAUUAUAAGCCUCAGAGGACAUAGGAAUAAUUAUAGUUUUCUAGAAAUGCAAAAAGUUGAAGUCGUUUUGAAAGUCUGUUUUAUUAUUUCCUAUAAAUGAUGACCAAAUAAGGUUAAAACUGAAAAUGUCUGCUAUGUGGAAAAAUAAAUUGUACUCGCAUUUGAAUGAGA